GACGAACGCUGGCGGCGUGCUUAACACAUGCAAGUCGAGCGGUAAGGCCCUUUCGGGGGUACGACGAGCGGCGAACGGGUGAGUAACACGUGGGUGACCUGCCUUUAGCUCUGGGAUAAGCCUGGGAAACCGGGUCUAAUACCGGAUAUGACUCCGCGGCGCAUGUUGUGGGGUGGAAAGCCUUGUGCGGCUGGAGAUGGGCCCGCGGCCUAUCAGCUUGUUGGUGGGGUGAUGGCCUACCAAGGCGACGACGGUAGCCGGCCUGAGAGGGCGACCGGCCACACUGGGACUGAGACACGGCCCAGACUCCUACGGGAGGCAGCAGUGGGGAAUCUUGCGCAAAUGGGCGAAAGCCUGACGCAGCGACGCCGCGUGAGGGAUGACGGCCU
rnacentral:rRNA from 1 species